rnacentral:rRNA from 1 species
GUGGGGAAUCUUGCGCAAUGGGCGAAAGCCUGACGCAGCCAUGCCGCGUGAAUGAUGAAGGUCUUAGGAUUGUAAAAUUCUUUCACCGGGGACGAUAAUGACGGUACCCGGAGAAGAAGCCCCGGCUAACUUCGUGCCAGCAGCCGCGGUAAUACGAAGGGGGCUAGCGUUGCUCGGAAUUACUGGGCGUAAAGGGAGCGUAGGCGGAUAGUUUAGUCAGAGGUGAAAGCCCAGGGCUCAACCUUGGAAUUGCCUUUGAUACUGGCUAUCUUGAGUAUGGAAGAGGUAUGUGGAACUCCGAGUGUAGAGGUGAAAUUCGUAGAUAUUCGGAAGAACACCAGUGGCGAAGGCGACAUACUGGUCCAUUACUGACGCUGAGGCUCGAAAGCGUGGGGAGCAAACAGGAUUAGAAACCCUGGUAGUCC